UACGUAGGGUGCAAGCGUUGUCCGGAAUUAUUGGGCGUAAAGAGCUCGUAGGCGGUUUGUCGCGUCUGCUGUGAAAUCUGGGGGGCUCAACCCCCAGCCUGCAGUGGGUACGGGCAGACUAGAGUGCGGUAGGGGAGAUUGGAAUUCCUGGUGUAGCGGUGGAAUGCGCAGAUAUCAGGAGGAACACCGAUGGCGAAGGCGA
rnacentral:rRNA from 1 species